ACUUGCUACUUGUUACAAACAAACAGAGCAAUAUUCUGGAAGAUUUGGAGACACUGCGACUGCUCUCAAAGCUUGUGCCGGAGUAUUCUAUGUCUCUAGAUGAAGAGGGUGUUUGCAGGACUGCUUUUGAGCUGAUUUUUGCUUUUGACGAGGUCAUCUCUCUUGGACACAAGGAAAAUGUAACUGUAGCUCAGGUUAAACAGUACUGUGAAAUGGAGAGUCACGAAGAGAAGCUGCACAAACUUGUAAUGCAGA